GCGCUGGAGAACUGAGGGGGGCUGCUCCUAGUACGAGAGGACCGGAGUGGACGCAUCACUGGUGUUCGGGUUGUCAUGCCAAUGGCACUGCCCGGUAGCUAAAUGCGGAAGAGAUAAGUGCUGAAAGCAUCUAAGCACGAAACUUGCCCCGAGAUGAGUUCUCCCUGAGACUUUAGAUCUCCUGAAGGAACGUUGAAGACGACGACGUUGAUAGGCCGGGUGUGUAAGCGCAGCGAUGCGUUGAGCUAACCGGUACUAAUGAACCGUGAGGCUUAACCUUACAACGCCGAAG
rnacentral:rRNA from 1 species